ensembl:lncRNA
AGAAAUCAGAGAACUUUUUAUAUUAUUUACAUUGAGAAACUAAAAGAAAUCAUUUAUUCAGAUGACACAUAAUUAUGUUUGCAUGUUUAAUGAUUAUUUAUAAACUUUAUUUCCUCCCUGCUUGUAUUUUUUGCCAGUCUCUCGUAAUGGGAUUGUAGCAGAAGACAGCGAGACCGUCUCCGAUAAGAUGCUGAAUGAGAUGGGUGCCGGACCGGAAGAGACGGUGGAGGAUGUCCAGCCUGUGGCCUCAGAAGCAGAGCAGCCAAUGGUCAGCGCCAAUGAUGCUCCUCUGGAGGAGAGAGAUCCAGCAGACGCUCCUGAAACAUCGAGUCCUGAAGCUCCUGCUGAAGAGCAGCGAGAUGUUCAUGCUGCAUCAGAACCCAGUGACACUACGUCUGCAGAACCCUCUCUAGCUGUGGAACCAGCAUCAGAUCUCAGCAGCACUCCAGAACCCAAUCCAACUGAGCUAACAGCAGCUCCAGAAGCCCUGUCAGACGCGAGCUCGGAGCCCACACUAGAGCAACCAACUCCAGCUCCAGAACCCAUUCCAGUGGAAGUUAGCCCUGUUCCAGAGCUCACUGUGUCUGAGCCUGUCGCGAGUGCAGAAUCAGCUUCUGCUGAGGAUCCGACUGUGUCUCCAGAACCCACUGCAGUGGAACCAAGCCCAGCUCUAGAGUCAACUCCAGCUCCAGAACCCACGGCCGAGGAACCGAGUCCAGCUCCAGAACCCACGACUGAGGAACCGAGUCCAGCUCCAGAACCCACGUCCGAGGAACCGAGACCAGCUCCAGAACCCACGACUGAGGAACCGAGUCCAGAACCCACGGCCGAGGAACCGAGUCCAGCUCAAGCGACUGAGGCAGCGGUGGUCUCACAGGCUGCAGAGGAGAAUGCGACCUGCGCAGACGCUUCAGAGGGAGCGGCCGGUGAGGAGAUCGCAGCAGAUGCGGCUGGUGAGACUACAAACAAUGAUGUUUGCUAAAAACAUUUGCAGAUGAAUGAGCAAAACGUGUGAAUCAUGAGCAUAUCUAAAGCUAUUAUACGGAAUAGUUUCCUCAUCAGUAUGUGGGUCUGAGUUAUGUGGGUCUCAUUUGCAUAUCAUGAAACUGUUUUGUUUGAAUGAAAUAAGCACAAGCUCUUUCGUGAUAACCUUUAUUUUGUGUUUCAGUGCUCGGUGAAGACGGAGCUGAUCUGAAAUCCACAGAACCUGCAGAAUGAUGUCAAUGUGUUCUUGUGACACUGUAAGACGUGCCUUGUAUUUCAGUAGACAUGAGGGUUUGGGCUUCACAUAAGUUUGUACAUAAAUUAGUGUUUCUAAGUAGCAUCAUCAUCAUUAGCAUUGUUGUUAAAAGCCACAGAAAUGCCUCUGAGAGCGCAGGGUCCCGUGGGUCACCGGCUGAGCGUGGGACGAAUGUUUGUGCUUCUGGAUAAAAUCACAGCAUCAUGUCCUCAUCUUCAACUGAGUCAAACACAAAAGCAAUAUUAACUCAUCUGAACACACACGAGCCAAAACUCAAUAACUGUGAAAUUAUGCUUAAUAAUGUGUCUUUUAAUGGGUCAGAAGGGCUUCGUCUCUUUUAUCUAUUUAGUGCAUUUUUCACCUCAGACUGCAGAUGAACAGCAGUUAAUGAAAAGCAGUUUGACUCUUUACUUGCAUUAAUCAAUGAUGCAGAAAGGCAAACGCUAGCAUAUUAAUCAAUAGUAUAUGUUGUUGGUUUAUUUUAUUAUAGUUUGUGGUGAUUGAUAGUUACACUUAAACUCCAGAGCACUAAUAAAGCUCAUCUGAUCAGCUUUAAACCGAGACCU